rnacentral:rRNA from 1 species
GAUGAACGCUGGCGGCGUGCCUAAUACAUGCAAGUCGAGCGAACAGACGAGGAGCUUGCUCCUCUGACGUUAGCGGCGGACGGGUGAGUAACACGUGGAUAACCUACCUAUAAGACUGGGAUAACUUCGGGAAACCGGAGCUAAUACCGGAUAAUAUAUUGAACCGCAUGGUUCAAUAGUGAAAGACGGUUUUGCUGUCACUUAUAGAUGGAUCCGCGCCGCAUUAGCUAGUUGGUAAGGUAACGGCUUACCAAGGCAACGAUGCGUAGCCGACCUGAGAGGGGGAUCGGCCAAACUGGAACUGAGAAACGGUCCAGAAUCCUACGGGAGGCAGCAGUAGGGAAUGUUCUGCAAUGGGCGAAAGACUGACGGAGGAACGCCGCGUGAGUGAUGAAGGUCUUCGGAUCGUAAAACGCUGUUAUUAGGGAAGAAAAAAUGUGUAAGUAACUAUGCACGUCUUGACGGUACCUAAUCAGAAAGCCACGGCUAACUACGU